AAAACGCAUUGUAACACUAGUAACGUGUUUCCACGAAGCGAUGUGAUCGGAUCACAACGAAUCAGAUACAGAAGAAAAACGUGUCGAUCGCAAGAAAAAGGAACACUAGGCUGGAUCGAGUGUGAUGAACAGGAGGAAUCGCGCGCGACACCGUUCAUCGGUAGACAGAUCCACUUAGGCUUAAUUAGCAACGAUUACUUAAAUACGUCCUUAUUUCCAUGGAUAUAUCUAUGUAUAUAUAUAUAUAGCUAACGAUCGCCCCCUGUGGAUGACGAAGAAAAGCAGGAAAAGCAAGAUUGAACGUAUCUAUACCUCGUCGAUGGGGGAUGGUGGUGUUUGACUGGCAGGCUUCGUUGGCGCUUUGAUGCAGAGCCGAGUCUGAAUUCGUUCUCCUCCAUGUGUCCGGUGGCGGUGGUGAAAGAUACGGAACACCGCUGUACGGUGAAGUAUCGUGCCUUUUUUCCAUCGGACGAGGUCGCAUCGGUCCAACUCCCAUGCUCCUACCCCUCUCGUUGUUACGAUACACCAUGGAAUUGUGCUGCAUCUCCUCCAAAUUGCUGAGCGCUGUCUAUAAACGCGAAAACAUUAUUUAAGUAUUUAUCUCGACAAUCACAUUAUCUUGCCACUCGAAGAAGCAUUUUUACGUGCACAUGCAAUAAAUUUUUAUCGAUUGCAUAUCUUGCACGUGUCUAUUCAAACGACACGAAAGGAAAAACUCAUUCAUCGUGUUUCUUUCAACUAGAACAAAAAAUAUAUGGAUGCAUGUAAAAUAAAUGUCCAUUGUGAUGUAGAGAUAUUCUGUCAUUCUUACACACAUACAUCGAUCGAUCGUUCUCACGUAUAGAUGACAGCGUCAUUCUUCCUGAACGUUGCUCUAUCUUAUCGACCUUAACUAAACCUCUAAAUUCUAAACACUUGGACGUUCAACUUCGGCGCAUUGCUAAUUGCAUUCCAAACAUUUGGUCCUAUCCUCCGGCAUAGAUGAUAGUGUCAUUCCUCCGAAAUUUUGCUUUAUCUCAUCGUUAUUUACUAUUUAAGUGCUUAAAACUUUGCCUUUCCUUUAAGUCCACGCUAAUUGCAUUCCAAAUAUGGACGUUCGAUCUGCAUAUCACCAGUUGAAGUUCGCUCUGUUGACUAACGUAACAUAAAUUACUACGAACUUGAAACAAAUCGUAUCGUAUACGUUACUAGAGCGCCGAUGUUUAUGUAUUUAUGGAAAAUUUAAAGGUUCGAGGAUACGCAGGCUACACAUAUUAUACAAACAUGUGUAAAAUAUUCAAGCUAAAGUAAUAUUUAAUAAGCAAAGCAAAUCUUCGUUUAAAUUCUAUUUUACAAAUCUGCAUAAAUUUCUAUUGCUCGAAAAAAAGAAAAAAAAAAAGGAAGAAAAAGAAAAAAAGAAAAAAUGCAUAGUGCAUAUUCAUAGAAUCACUAUUUUGCAGAAGACGAAUGCAUUACGUACAUGGAGCAAAUGAAAUGUACGAUGAAAACGAACUAGCUCCGAGGAAAGUAAUUUUCUUCUACCUUCGUUCUUUUUCGAGUUGGUCGGAAUUUUCUCGUCCUAUGAAACUCAGCCUGUGAAACGUUUCAUCCGUUUUAUGAGAGGACCAAUGCGAUAUAAAGAGACUUAACGCAGGCGUUCGAUCAGGACACGCCAGAACGAGAAUCCGUGUCAGUUCCUCCAAAGAUAAAUCCAUGGAGAUAAGUUUCCCUUUGGAAAAUAUGAGCUUUUCCAUCCACUAGCAAUCAGAUCUUAUAUCCACAACUUCUUGGAAGCGAACUAAAAAUUCAAAGUACAAGAAUAUCGACCCUUUGAUAACAACAUUAAUAAACGAGCUCGCGUUUCCGUGCUAAUAGAAAUUCUAAAAGUCUGCGCUUUUUAAAACAGACUACGACGAAACCAUCGUAGAAAUCUGCGAUACAACUCGUACGAAACGAUUAUAUACGAUACAGCGAGUGUUUAAAGCUUUAGAAGCUUAAAG